GAUGAACGCUGGCGGCGUGCCUAAUACAUGCAAGUCGAGCGAACAGACGAUGAUCUUGCGCCUCGCACGUUAGCGGCGGACGGGUGAGUAACACGUGUAUAACCUACCUAUAAUACUGGUAUCACUUCGGGACAGCGGAGCUAAUACCGGAUAAUAUAUUGAACCGCAUUGUGCAAUAGUGAAAGUCGGUGUUGCUGUCUCUUAUAGAUGGAUCCGCGCCGCAUGAGCUAGUUGUGAAGUUAACGGGUUACCAAGGCGACUAUGCGUAGCCGACCUGAGAGGCUGAUAGGCGACAUUGGAACGUAGACAGGGACCAGAGUACUGAGGGAGGCCGCAGACGGGAACGUUACGCAACGGGCGAAAGUCUGGCGGAGCAAGGCGGAGUGAGUGAUGACGGCGUCGGGAUCGUAAAAACCUCUUACGAGGGAAAAACCACUGUGUCCGUAAACAUGCACGUAUUGACGGUAACUAAUAAGAAAGCACCGGCUAACUACGUG
rnacentral:rRNA from 1 species